CCCUACUUUUGACGUCAUCAUAAGGAUGAAAAGAAGGGAACCUAGGGACCUUCUUGAGAUGUAAAGGGAAGUGGACAUUAUUUCUUACAUGGAAUGCAUAAAUAUAUUUGUAUAUAAUAGAAAAAUCCUGGAGUCCAGCGAGCAUGCACGAUCCCACGAGGCCAUGAGAUUCUCGUGAGCAGUUUAAAAAUGGAAGAUAAAACGGGAAUCCAACACACACUGGGCUCCCUGGAGCCUGAGGUACCAUCUCUUAAGCGCUCCCCAUAAAAACGA
rnacentral:lncRNA from 1 species